rnacentral:rRNA from 1 species
UACCUGCAGCUCGAGUGGUAACCGCUAUUAUUGGGCCUAAAGCGUCCGUAGCCGGCUUGGUAAAUAUCUGGGUAAAUCGUGAGGCUUAACUUCACGAAUUUCGGAUAGACUGCCAGACUUGGGAUCGGGGGAGGUCAGAGGUACUCCAGGGGUAGCGGUGAAAUGUUGUAAUCCUUGGAGGACCACCGGUAGCGAAGGCGUCUUACUAGAACGAGUCCGACGGUGAGGGACGAAGCCCUGGGGCGCAAACCGGAUUAGAUACCCGGGUAGUCCAGGGUGUAAACGAUGUGGGCUUUGUAUUGGAGGUCCCACGUGGGCGUCCAGUGCAGAAGAGAAGUUGUUAAGCCCACCGCCUGGGAAGUACGGUCGCAAGGCUGAAACUUAAAGGAAUUGGCGGGGGAGCACAGCAACGGGAGGAGCGUGCGGUUU